rnacentral:rRNA from 1 species
UACGUAGGGCGCGAGCGUUGUCCGGAUUUAUUGGGCGUAAAGAGCUCGUAGGCGGCUUGUCGCGUCGACUGUGAAAACCCGCGGCUCAACCGCGGGCCUGCAGCCGAUACGGGCAGGCUAGAGUUCGGUAGGGGAGACUGGAAUUCCUGGUGUAGCGGUGAAAUGCGCAGAUAUCGAGAGGAACACCUGCGGCGAAGGCGGGUUGCUGGGCUGACACUGACGCUGAAGUGCGAAAGCUAGGGGAGCGAACGGG